UACGGAGGGUGCAAGCGUUAUCCGGAAUCACUGGGCGUAAAGGGUGCGUAGGCGGGUCUUUUAAGUCAGGGGUGAAAUCCUGGAGCUCAACUCCAGAACUGCCUUUGAUACUGAGGAUCUUGAGUUCGGGAGAGGUGAGUGGAACUGCGAGUGUAGAGGUGAAAUUCGUAGAUAUUCGCAAGAACACCAGUGGCGAAGGCGGCUCACUGGCCCGAUACUGACGCUGAGGUGCGAAAGCGUGGGGAGCAAACAGG
rnacentral:rRNA from 1 species